rnacentral:rRNA from 1 species
UACGGAGGGGGCUAGCGUUGUCCGGAAUUACUGGGCGUAAAGAGCUCGUAGGUGGUUUGUCGCGUUGUCCGUGAAAACUCACAACUCAAUUGUGGGCGUGCGGGCGAUACGGGCAGACUGGAGUACUGCAGGGGAGACUGGAAUUCCUGGUGUAGCGGUGGAAUGCGCAGAUAUCAGGAGGAACACCGGUGGCGAAGGCGGCAUUCUGGACCGAAACUGACGCUGAGGCGCGAAAGCCAGGGGAGCAAACGGG